CAAGGAGAAAAGAGACGGCAAGCUGCUCUAUCUGUAAUAUUCCAAUGGGAAAAGAGACUGCUAGCUGCACAGUCUGUCAUAUUAAAGGGUAAUAAACAGAGUGCCAGUUACUGUGUGUGUGUGGUACUCCAAAGUUAAAAGACAGACAUCCGGCUACCCUGUGGUACUUAGAUAGGGGUAAGGAUGAGACUGCCAGCUUCCCUGCCUGUGGUACUGUAAAGAAAAGACUGCCAGAUACCCUGUGUUACACAGAGGGUAAGAGACAGUCAGCUACUCUGUAUUAACCAGAUGAUUUGGGUCAGUCUGGCACCUACUACAGCCAGGUCCUGUCUUCUGAGUCACAAAUAGGGUUAAGGAUAACAGUAACUGCUUCUCUGUCCCCGUCACCCUUAGGAUAAUGGGCAGACUGGCAGCUCCUGUGCCCAUCAUGCUAUAGGAAAAGGGGCAUGCUGGCAUCUCCACCCAUUGAGUAAGAAGCAGACUACCAGCUCUGGUCUGAGUCAAUGUGAGGAAUGGAAUGAGGUGGAAACACACAGGUUUGUUCAAUCUAUAAUAUCCGUAUGAUGGAAUGGCCUCAUUCUCUCUCUCUCUCUGAGUUUGUUGGAAAUUACUUGUGACCAGAACUCCCUGAGGCAGUCCAGGGUCACUUCUGCAUCAAGCAAGCAACACAACAAGG